UAUAAGGGAUUUUGAGUUUCAGCUUGUAACGUUUGACCACUCAUCUUAUUCAACAAAUAUCGCAAUCAUUAUCCAUCUUAUCCGUGACUUACUCCAUCAUCUACAGUAUUUUAAGCAUAACUUUUCGUUUUUUAUAUUUACAAAAAAAAAUUAAAUAAGACGAGUGGUCAAACGUUGCAAACAAAAACUCAAAAUCCCUUACG
rnacentral:pre_miRNA from 1 species